AGGAAAAUCUUCCUUUACCAGGAAGAAACCUGCAACAGAACCAGAACCAGAACCAGAGCCAGAACCAGCAGUCAUCUGACGACCGGCUGGAGGAAACAGAUGAACAAAUUUCUAAGUUAAUGAAAAGUAAAAAGUUAAAAUCAGGAGGAUGUUUGGUUAUUGGCAGCUGAGGCAGAACGAGAGGAAACCAGAGAAAACAUGAAGCUGAAAAUGAAAAAAUGAAGUAAUGAUGGAGGAGGAGAAGAAGGAAGGGUGGAAGACUAAGUCUGUCCUCCAGCGAUAUCUGAGUAAAGCCUUCAGAACCGAACUCUGGUGACCCGGGAUGAGAGCUGGGAUCAUGACGGAUCAGAACCAGCCCGUCAGUACUGCAGGGCGACAUCCCAUCAUCCCUCAGGAACAUUGAAACCCUCCAGCAGCAUCAGCAAGAAGCCAGCCGCUCCAGCACAGCUGAUCUCCGCUCCUUAGGACUGAACCGAGUCCAGAACCGCAGGGAGCAGACGGUACUGCAGAACCUCCUCCACCUAAACCACCCAGAGUUACGAGCUUAGGUCUCUGGUCCGCUUGGCGUUCACAUUCAAACCAAUCUAUUUAUAAAAUCCUGCUUUCCAUACA